rnacentral:rRNA from 1 species
UAGGGAAUCUUCCGCAAUGGACGAAAGUCUGACGGAGCAACGCCGCGUGAGUGAUGAAGGUUUUCGGAUCGUAAAACUCUGUUGUCAGGGAAGAACAAGUAUCGGAGUAACUGCCGGUACCUUGACGGUACCUGACCAGAAAGCCACGGCUAACUACGUGCCAGCAGCCGCGGUAAUACGUAGGUGGCAAGCGUUGUCCGGAAUUAUUGGGCGUAAAGCGCGCGCAGGCGGUUUCUUAAGUCUGAUGUGAAAGCCCACGGCUCAACCGUGGAGGGUCAUUGGAAACUGGGAAACUUGAGUGCAGAAGAGGAGAGUGGAAUUCCACGUGUAGCGGUGAAAUGCGUAGAGAUGUGGAGGAACACCAGUGGCGAAGGCGACUCUCUGGUCUGUAACUGACGCUGAGGCGCGAAAGCGUGGGUAGCGAACA